rfam:Pterospora floridiensis 18S small subunit ribosomal RNA gene, partial sequence.
ACCUGGUUGAUCCUGCCAGUAGUCAUAUGCUUGUCUCGCAGAUUAAGCCAUGCAUGUCUAAGUAUAAACAGAUUACAGUGAAACUGCGAAUGGCUCAUUAAAACAGUUAUUGUUUGCUUGGAGUAUUUUUCCACCGGAUAUCCGUGGAAAUCCUACAGCUAAUACGUAGCCAAUCCUUUAGGGGAUGUAGCAUAUUAGUUUGAACAAUCGGCACAUUUUUGAUGUGUGAAUUAUGAGAAAUUUUAUGCACGAAUCGUAUAUCAUACGACAGUCCAUCAAAGUUUCUGACCUAUCAGGUUCCGACGGUUGGGUAUUGGCCAACCGUGCCUAUAACGGGUAACGGGGGAUUAGGGUUUGAUUUCGGAGAGGGAGCAUGAGAGAUGGCUACCACAUCUAAGGAAGGCAGCAGGCGCGCAAAUUACCUAUCCCUGACUCAGGGAGGUAGUAAACAGAAAUAAUGGCACAUGUUUUAAACAUGUGAUCGGAACGAAUGGUUUCUAAAUAAAACCAUGAAAGCAAUUGGAGGGCAAGUCUGGUGCCAGCAGCCGCGGUAAUACCAGCUCCAAUAGCGUAUAUUAUUGAUGUUGCAGUUAAAAAGUUCGUAGUUUGACUUUGCCUGUUUAUUAGAUUCUAAAUAUUAUGUUUGGAAUCAAUUUAAGCAGAGAUUUGCAGAACAACACAACAUGCAUUGCGUGUUUGUGGAGUUUAGCAUAUUACUUUGAGUUAAUCGGCGUGUUCCACGCAGGCUUUUGUCUUGAACGAUUUACCAUAGAAUAACAAAUUUAUGAUUUUGUGUCUUUGUUUGUUCGGACACAUUAUCUAUACGAAUAAGAACGGUUGAGGGCAUUCGUAUUCAACUGCCAGAGGUGAAAUUCUUUGAUUAGUUGAGGACGAACAAUUGCGAAAGCAUCUGCCAGGGACGUUUCUGUUGAUCAAGAACGAAAGUUAGGGGAUCGAAGAUGAUUAGAUACCGUUGUAGUCCUAACCAUAAACUUUACUAUCCAAGAGUUGGAUUAGUUAUUUUAUACUCUUCCAGUACUUUUUGAGAAAUCAUAAGUCUUUGAGUUCUGGGGGGAGUAUAGUUGCAAGGCUGAAACUUAAAGGAAUUGACGGAAGGGCACCACCAGGAGUGGAGCUUGCGGCUUAAUUUGACUCAACACGGGAAAACUUACCAGGACAAGACAUAAGAAGGAUUGACAGAUUGAUCGCUCUUUCUUGAUUUUAUGGGUGGUGGUGCAUGGCCGUUCUUAGUUCGUGGAGUAAUUUGUCUGGUCAAUUCCGUUAACGAACGAGACCUCAACUAACUAAUUGGUGAUGUUUAUGUUUUAAAUAUAAAUAUCCGUGUUAGAAGGACCAUGUGUGUUUAACACAAGGAAGCGUGAGGCAAUAACAGGUCUGUGAUGCCCUUAGAUAUCCUGGGCAGCACGCGUGCUACAGUGAUAUAUAUAAUGUGUUACACCACCUGAGAGGGCGGUGCAAUCAUAAAUGUAUAUCAAUACAGGGAUUGCUUGUUGGAAUGUCAAGCAUGAACGAGGAAUUCCUAGUAAGCGUGUAUCAUUAGUUCGCGUUGAUUACGUCCCUGCCCUUUGUACACACCGCCCGUCGCGUCUAUUGAUUAGGUAGCAUCAUGAGUGAGGCAGAGGAGAAAUAUUUUUAGAUUCGUCUAAUUUUAUUUUACUGAAGCCCCGCGAAUGGUGCUACCCAGAAACAGACAAAGUCGUAACAUGGUUUCUGUAGGUGAACCUGCAGAAGGAUCAA